UACGGAGGGAGCUAGCGUUGUUCGGAAUUACUGGGCGUAAAGGGCGCGUAGGCGGUACUUCAAGUCAGGCGUGAAAGCCCCGGGCUCAACCUGGGAACCGCGCUUGAGACUGGAGAACUAGAGUUCGGGAGAGGAUGGUGGAAUUCCCAGUGUAGAGGUGAAAUUCGUAGAUAUUGGGAAGAACACCGAUGGGCGAAGGCAGCCAUCUGGACCGACACUGACGCUGAGGCGCGAAAAGCGUGGGGAGCAAACAGG
rnacentral:rRNA from 1 species